rnacentral:misc_RNA from 1 species
GCCAAUUUUUGUACACUCAUGAGGCUUUUAGUCAACCAUAUUGCUGUUUCUCUGGAUGAAACUGCAUCAUCACCAAAUGGUUUCAGCACACCAGCAAGCUCAUCAAUUUUUUCCUGCUUGAGUAGUCGUGCACAAACCUCUAAAAGGGAUUCCAGAGCUUCAGCUCUUUCUUGAGUCGGAUUUUCCCAGUCGUUCUUGUGCCCGUCACCAGCUAAGGCAGCUAGUGCCUUAAGCAGUGAAACCCUAUCAUCUAGUGCUUGACGUUUAGCAUCUUCAACCAUAUUUGCAUUCUUUUCUAUCUCAUCUUUAAGUGAGCUUGACCUAUUUCUUUCAGAAGCUAUGUGGUCAACAGAAACUCCUUUAAACUCACCAACAUUUUCACUUACAGAUGCAUGACACCUAAGUUCAGCGUCAAUAUCAGAUUUUGCAGGUCGUGUAGUUGAUGAAGUGCUUUCUUCAUCAU